ensembl:lncRNA
AUCUUGCUGGAGAUCCCUGCGUACCAGAGGCCUUCAGAAGGACUCAGUCUGCCUCUUUCCUUGUUUGGACGUGACAGUGAUGGACCAGAUUUUACUGGGAGCAUGAACCUGACCUUCAGCUUGUGCCAAAGGUGCAACAGAAGAAUGCCUUUCAGCAACAUGUCUCUUGCCCCUGCACAUCAGACCAGGGCCUAAGAAGCCAGCAGCGAGUGGCCUCUGAGUCUGUAACAAGCAUGCUGCUUUUCUAAUUAAAAAUGUCUGAUGUUGGAGCCACUUAUAAGUAACUCAGAACUGUUGUCUUAAAAUAGAAUGUCAAAAUUUCCUGAAGCUCUCUUGACAUUGAGCAGUCUUCGUUCUUUCUGACUCAUAGGGCAAAGACUCAUAGCUCCCUGGUCCCCAGCUUGUCUCAGCUAUGGGAGGAAGAAGCCACUUGAUUUGAAUACUGAAGAGUUAAGAGCCAGACCAGAUGGCAAGGGAAAAAGACACAGGAGUGACAGGAAGCAGCUUCAAGUCUGUGGCUGGUGGGGAGGAAGAGAAAAUGUGCCUUUCUUUUUUAUUAUUUUAACUCUCAUGUAUCUGAAAAAUGUCUCAGUGUGUCCUCCAAGAGACUGGGGUGUUUCCCACUUGUCUGCGAAAAAUAUGCCGUGGAGAUGAUGUAGCAAAAUACGUGCAGAGUGUGGUAAAAUAUAUUUUAAAGUCCAGGGAAACAGUCAUCUCAAACUAAUGAUCAUCCUGAAUUGGCCACUCACUUCUGGUACUGACUAAGCAAUAGACUUAAAUCUCAUUUAAAAAUAAGCAUAUGAAUACCAGAACAAGGAUUUUGUGAUACUCUCAGAAAAUUCUGUGAAGACUACAAAAUUCUGACUGUCUUGAAUGUUAUGAACAAAUUUGAUUUUGUUUGUGUUGUCUGCUUUAAGUUCAGUCCUUUUUUGAGGUAAGUGAGGCUUAAGAUUCAUCUAAGAGUGAGACCUCCCUCACCAGUGUAUUUAAGGAUGCAAUGGGCUGGGACACUGCCUUGUCAGAACAAGUACUCGCUUUCUCUAGUGCAUCCUUCUAGCCUGUCCAAAGGGAAAGAGGUGUACCCACGUUAGGUAUGCAAGUGGGUAACUGGUGGCCUGGGGUAUCUGGAAUUCUCAUUGGCAUGUAGCUCUGCACUGGGUCAGCAAAGGUGACAGGGUCUUUCCUAUUGCUGCUGGCCCAUGUGGGCUGGACAGGCAUAAUUGCUUAACUUUGAAGUUCUUGACUUAACAAUGCCAAUAUUUCUUUAAUUCCUUCACAUCAUAUCGUUUGCCAUUAAAAAAAAAAAAAAAGAGUAAGUACACUCUUGCUGUUCUGACAGUCUUUUUCUUCCUAUUCUCCUCUGUGAGGUAGCUUCAUAGUCUUAUUCUCUCAAUAAGUCUAGUCUGUCUCUGAAAGCGUAAGUAAGACACAAAGGAGAUUUAGGUGCCUAAGUUCCUCCUUGCACAAUGGUGGAGUCUGUGGCAGAUGGUGAUGGGUGAAGUGCUGUGCUAAUGCCCCACUACAACCUACGAGGUACACCAACCUGCU